GCUUACGGUCACACCACCCUGAGCACGCCCGAUCUCGUCCGAUCUCGGAAACCAAGCAGGGUCGGGCCUGGUUAGUACUUGGAUGGGAGACCGCCUGGGAAUACCAAGUGCUGUAAGCAU
rnacentral:rRNA from 1 species